AUUGAACGCUGGCGGCAUGCCUUACACAUGCAAGUCGAACGGCAGCACGGGUGCUUGCACCUGGUGGCGAGUGGCGAACGGGUGAGUAAUACAUCGGAACAUGUCCUGUAGUGGGGGAUAGCCCGGCGAAAGCCGGAUUAAUACCGCAUACGAUCUACGGAUGAAAGCGGGGGACCUUCGGGCCUCGCGCUAUAGGGUUGGCCGAUGGCUGAUUAGCUAGUUGGUGGGGUAAAGGCCUACCAAGGCGACGAUCAGUAGCUGGUCUGAGAGGACGACCAGCCACACUGGGACUGAGUCACGGCCCAGACUCCUACGGGAGGCAGCAGUGGGGAAUUUUGGACAAUGGGCGAAAGCCUGAUCCAGCAAUGCCGCGUGUGUGAAGAAGGCCUUCGGGUUGUAAAGCACUUUUGUCCGGAAAGAAAUCCUUGGCCCUAAGACGGUCGGGGGAUGACGGUACCGGAAGAAUAAGCACCGGCUAACUACGU
rnacentral:rRNA from 1 species